rnacentral:lncRNA from 1 species
GAACCACUCCUACAGGUGAACCAGAGGUGAAGCAUCCAACUCAUAUUUGGCCAGUGACAGCAAAGAAUGUUCCUAGUUCAGUAAUGCAUUAAGGGAUGGGCAGGUAACCGUGUUGGUUCAGUUAAUGAAUCCAGGACUACUGGGAAGGAUCUCUUUCUUGCUGGACUGGGACUGGAUUGGAUGUACACUUGAGGUUGUUGAGAACCGUAUUGCUAUCACAUGAAGUCUGAGUAUAAAGCUGAUAAGAAGAGCUGAGCCUUCUCCCCCCCUCAACCCCCACAAAAGGCUCUCUCUUUUAUUUGUCUGACCUGAAGUAGGCAUGAAAGGCAAUGCACUGAAAAUUCUAAUUCGACCCUUAUUUUUGUAGGAUGACUACAAGUGUCUAAAUUAAGUAUUUAUAAGGAAGUUGAUGCUUUAUGAUAACAGCAACAAGGUCUACAUUUGAAUAAUUUAUUAUAUGAGCAUUGUAAAAGUUCUUCUAUGGCACUGUAGAGUAAAUAAAAUAAAUCUUUUCUCAAGAAAUGUAUAAUCUACUUAGACAAGACCAGCAUUAAAAAACAAAACCUUUUAGGAGUUCUUGCUAUGGCACAACAAGAUCAGUGCUGUCUCUGUAGCACUGGGAUGUAAGUUCAAUCCCCAGCCCAGCACAGUGGGUUAAGGAUCAGGCACUGGUGUAGCUGCGGCAUAGGUCACAACUGUGGCUCAGACCUGAUUGCUGGCCCAGGAACUCCAUAUGCUGUGGGGUGGCCAAAAACAAACAACCAAAAAGAAAAACCCUUUAGACUGCAAGUGAAUUGCAGACAGUAAUGCAUGUAAAUAUUCUGAAUGGCAAUAUAAAGUACAAACAAAACUAGAACAAAGCAUGAGAAAGAAGCUUUAGACUAAACUCCAAUCUUUUUUUUUUUUUUUUUUUUUUUUUGUCUUUUUAGGGCCGCACCUGAGGCAUAUGGUGGUUCCCAGGCUAGGGGUCUAAUUGGAGCUGUAGCCUUCAGCCUUCGCCACAGCCACAACAACUCAAGAUCCAAGCCAAGUCUGCAACCAAUACCAAAGAUCACAGCAACACUGGAGACUUAACCCACUGAGCAAGGCCAGGGAUUGAACCUGCCUCCUCAUGGAUGCUAGUCAGAUUCGUUUGCACUGAGUCACAACAGGAACUCCUGUAUCGUAGUAUUUAAGUGGAUUCCUAGAAUUGUAUUUCCUACAUGGAUGCUUCCUGUGAAUUACUGACUUGAAUAGUCAAUUGCCUAUUUGAUAUAUCCAUUUAUCAAAUUCAAAAGACAUCACAAAUUUAUCUUGUCCAAAAAGCCUUCUGCUCCAAACUUGUUUGUAGACACUGCCUUCCACAUUUCAGUAGAUGGCAACCCCAUCCUUCCAGUUGCUCAGAUCUAAAACUUUAAGCAGUAUCUCUUUUCUUAUACCUGUAAGAAAAUCUUACUGGCUCUAUGUUCAAAAUUUAUUUGGAAUUUAACAACUUCUUACCACCUCCACUACUAUCUAAAUUAUUACAAUACUGGUCUUCCUUAUCUUCUACCUCCUAAAAUCUAUUUACAAACCAGCAGCUGAAGCAGUCUUCUCAUUUUAUUGGGAAAAAUCUAAAACAUAUAGAAAAAUUGAAAGAUUUUACAGUGAUCCGUCUGUAUACUCACUACCUAGAAUCUACCAUUUCUAAGAUAACAAAUCUUAUAGCUCCUCUGCUCAAAAUGCCUCAAUGCCUUGCCUCAUUCAAAGAAGAAAAGCCAGGAGUUCCUGUUGUGGCUCAGCAGAAAAGAAUCUGACUAGUAACUCUGAGGUUGCAGGUUCAAUCCUUGGCCUCACUCAGUGGGUUAAGGUUCUGGCAUUGCCAUGAACUAUGGUGUAGGUCAUAGAUGCAGCUCAGAUCCUGCCUUGGCAUAGGCUGGCAGGUAUAGCUCUGAUUUGACCCCUAGCCUGGGAGCCUCCAUAAGAGAGAGAGAAGAAAAGCCAAUUUCUUACCAUGGUCUCCAAGACCCAGCAUGCUCUGGUCCCUACAACCAUCCUUCCCUCUCGUCCAUUACUUUUCAGUCAUACUGGCCUCCUAAUGAGGCCAUCAAAUGCAGCGAGUAUUCUUGCUUUAGGACUUUUGCACCUGCUUUCUCUUCACUUGGGAUUCUCUUCACCUUCCACCACAAAUUUGCAUGGCUUGCCUCUUUCUUUGGAUCACCUUAUCAGAGGUUUUCUCUAACUCUUCCAAGUAUUAAAUUGAACAAUGUAACUCUAAUGUCAUCCUACCAGGCUGUAAACCAUAAACUUAAUAUCAUUCUGAGGUUUUAAAAAUAUAUAUAAAAGAUCAGUAAUUUCACAUGGUUCAAGCUAAUGAAUGAGCAGAAGCACCCUACCAUUUUAUUUUUACCUGAUUUCCAAUAUGCAUAAUAGCACUUCUCACCAUCUUAUGUACUGUUUGUAUAUUGUCUGUAAGAUCUCAAAGGGGAGUUCUCUUGUGGCACAGCGGGUUAAGGAUCCAGCAUUAUCACUGCUAUGGCUUGGGUCAUUGUUGCGGCUCAGGUUCCAUCCCUGGCUUGGGACCUUCCACAUGCCAUGGGCAUGGCCAAACCCCCCUCCCCGCAAAAAACAAAAACAACUCCUCAGAGAGAAAGAGUCCAUAUUUUGUCCACUGCUGUGUAUUCAGUGUAAAACAAGUACUUU